AUGGCAGGUGUGUCCUGCCCUGGAGGAGUCUCCAAUGAGACCGUUGCCAAUGCCAGUUCAGAAUCCAGUUUGGACGCGGAUUUCCAGUAUUCCUUGUUUACUGUCAUCUACAGCAUCGUCUUCGUGCUGGGGCUGGUAGAAAACGUGGUGGCUCUGUACUGCCUGUCCUGCAGAGCAGAGCACACGGCUCAUUCCUACGUCUACAUGAUCAACCUGGCGCUGGUGGACACCUUGUUCGUUUGCGUGUUGCCUUUUAAAAUUCAUUACCACCUGAACCGAAACAACUGGAUCUUCGGGGACGUGGCUUGUAGGGUCACCGGGACUUUGUACUACAUCAACAUCUACCUCAGCAUCGCCUUUUUCACCUGCAUUUGCGUCGAUCGUUACAUCGCGGUGCUGCACCCCUUCACCUACAUCCGCAUCAGAGCCGCCCAUUACGUGGCGGUGGUCGCAGCCCUCUGGGUGGUGGCUCUGAGUGUCGCGGUUCCUCUGGUCCUCGGUGGCCCUCUGCACAACAGCGGCGAGAGGAACGCGACGGCGUGUUUUGAGAACUUCCCUUCGAGCUGCUGGACUUACCGCAUGGCUCCCUACAACAUCCUGGCCUUGGUUUUUGGGUUCGUGAUCCCGUUUUCCAUCAUUCUCAUCAGCUACCCGCUCAUCGCCAAGAGGAUCUCCCAGAUCAAGCACAGCGUCCGCAAGAGGAAGGCGCUGAGCACCAUCUACAUCAUCCUGGCCAUCUGUACUUUGUGCUUUCUCCCAUAUCACCUCACGCACUUGCUUCACUUUUUAAUGAGAGUCCGGGUCAUCCAGAAUAAGUCGUUUACCAGCUUGAUCUACAAAAUGCGGAGGGUCACCCUGGCCCUCGUGAGCGUCAACUGCUGCCUCAACCCCCUCCUGUAUUAUUUCACCUCCUCCAGCAAGCGCUGGAGCUUCAGCCUCAGGCUCCGGUUCAGGUCCGAAAGGGUUUACACGAUCUACGACCAGAAACACAGGGAGACCUCCUAUGUGUACAAACUACACCAGAGACACGGAAACAAGAAACACAGAGAUGGCAUCAACUGAUUUACUUAAAGUAAGUACACGUUUCAUCUCUCCUACUGUUUAUUUGAAAACAAACCUCGGAAACCAGUGCCUUUGACGCAGUGGGUGUUACACAAGGGAAGACUGGAGGGAAGUGCCGUAUAUUUUUAUUAGCUGUGUAUUUUUAUGAGCCAACUGGGACAGCACCAGGGGAGCUGUAUUCUCUGACAGUCCUCAGGACUCUUUAAAAUGACUCCCCCAGACAGGUUUCUAAUGUGAGAAGAUCGCAGCUAAACAAUACAGACCAUCACUGCAGUAAUUGGACAAACGCCGUAAUCGCUUUAUUAAAAUAGGAAAAAACAUUGACAAUGUAAACAAAAUAAAAUGUGUCUUGGAAGCGGCGCUGGGGCUCAGGCCGUGCUCUGGGGAAGCCCUUUUUUCAGCAGGGAUGUGAGAAAACUGCCCAGCUCCUCGUCCUGGAGAGAACACAGAGAAACAGGAUGGACGCGUCUUCCACUUACCCACUGGGGCAAGAAAUUCAACAGGUCUCAAAGACGGGUGGAAAAUGUCACUGUCCCCAUUUGCAGAGAGGAAAACAGGUGAACAUCAGCUUGUCCAAAGCCACCAGGAGCUCUCUGGCAGCAUCAGGAUUCCUCUCAUUGCUUUAAAUUAAUCCAGCGCAGAAUGGAAACUACAGGCUUUGAAAAGCAAUACUUCUCCAGUCUAUUACUUGUUUUAAAUGCAUUAAAAUGUUAUUCUAAAUAGCAUGAAAAUUGUAAAUCUCUCAUAUAUAUGCUAGUAAAAAUAAAAUGAACAUUAAAGUUUGUGA